rnacentral:lncRNA from 1 species
CCUGGAUCUCACUGAUAUUAAUAUGUUUAUGUUAUGAUCUGUGAUGGGUAUAUAUUAAUGAAAUCCUUCACCGAAUACGGGACCACCAUAUUACUAGUGGUAGACCCCAAUGUCCAAUAAUCUUCAAUUUCUACCGAAUAUGGGCUGUCAAAAAAAAAAUGCUAACAUUCCAAUUUUCAAUAACAGUUAACAGCAAAUAUAUUAUCACAAUAACAGAUAACAAAAAACCUAAUAGUCCAAUAACAGCUAACAAUGAAUAAGACAAUAACAGCUAACAGCAAAUAUAUUUUCAGAAUAACAGAUAACAAAGAAUCAAAUUGCCCCAUAACAGCAUAACAGUUAAACCCCUUGCCCCCCC